UGAUGAUGGUAUAAGUUGUUUAAAUGUCAUAGUUCUACCUUCCAGGCUGGUACUGAUUGUGAAACCUCAGCUGAAAUUGCCAUUCUCUGUGUCCUUUUUCCAAAUGGAUACUGUCCCUAGAGCUCCCUGGCCAGCAGCACCAGAGCAGGAGUUAUUCCCGGUGCAACUGAAAACAAAAAGAACUUAAAGAAUGGCAUGCAGUUUAUAUCUGGUGCAGACUUCCUGGGAAGCGUAGUCUCCCCACAAGCCCCUCUCCAUGCUCUGAAAUUCAGAAUUCACCUAUUCCCAGAGCAGCAGCAUGUUCUAUUGCUCUAUUCCAGGAAUCUUUCACAAAGAGCCAAAAAUGACCACGUGCUGUGCAGAGCUGUAAGUUUUUUCCUUUCUGAUAUCAUGGUUCAAACCUUUUUUUUUUUUUUUUUCAUUUUCUCCCCC
rnacentral:lncRNA from 1 species